GCGGGCCUGAUGACGUAUUUCCCGUGCGUCUCCUGGUGUUGUCUGCCGUCGCGUGGGUGUGACGCCAGAGCGGCGGGAGUCCCAGUUCGGGCGUCCCGGGCUUGCAGGCUGGUCAUGGGGCGUACGCAUUCGGUCGGUAAACUUGUCAUGGUCCGGGAGAGCCGAGGACGAGCGCCAGGUGGAGGCUGAGGGCUGUUAGGGUCGCGGCGUGUGGCCUCUUGCAGUGCGAAACCUGAGACGCGGAUGCCGGGUUGCCGGGUGUGGAGCCACGGGCGGUCCGCUUUUUGAGCCUGGCUCACCUACGGUGAGCUUUGGCCUUUGAGAGCAUGAAGUGACUCCUAGGUGCAAAGUUUACCAGUCAGGAGGGUCCUGGGCUGAAAAGAGAGUGACUAUGGCCAGCAUCACCCAGCUGUUCGAUGACCUCUGCGAGGCUCUCUUACCUGCUGCCCAAGCUCGCCCCGGCCAGCGCAGUGUGAACAGGAAGAGGGCGAAGCGGAGCCUUAAGAGGGUGGCCUACAAUGCCCUUUUCGCAAAUCUUUUUCAAGAGGACACCCAUCAACGGCAGCCCGACUCGUCGAAGCUCCCCGUGAAAAACAAGGUCCUCAUGCUGUCCUUCGAUUUGAGGGUGGGGGGCUUGGGGCCAGAGGCUGACCGUUUGGAGGAGCUCGUGGAGAAACUUGAAGCAGCCCCUGACUGUCCUUUUGUGGAGGUAGCAUCAGUGUUGGACCUCUUAGUUCAGCUGGCAGGAAGUGGCCCCCCUCAAGUGCUGCGUAGAAAACGGGAUUACUUCUUUAACAACAAGCAUGCAGGCCGAAACAUACCCUACAGCGGCUACGAUUGCUAUGACUUGAGUGUGUUUGAAAUGGACGUUCGGUCAUUUAUCUCUGGGGAGGAGAAUUUGUGUCAUCACACGGUCCAGGAAGCGCUUCAGGUGAUGGAGGCUGCCCCAGGCACUGGCCUGCCCACCGUUGGGCUCUUCUCAAUUGGUGACUCUUGUGGUGACAGGUUUGAGAGAGACACCAGGGUCUCCCUCUUUGGUGCACUUGUGCAUAGCCGCACCUAUGACAUGGAUGUGCGACUGGACCUACCACCUGUGCCAGACAGCGCGGACUUCUCUGGACUAGCCAUCAAGGUCCCACAGAUUGUGGAUCAGUGGGAAGAUGAAGGUUUCCAGUCAGCUUCCAAUUUAACUCCCGACUCCCAGUCUGAACCAAGCAUGACCCCCGAUUUGGACCUGUGGGAAGCUGUGCUCACAUACGAAGCCAGCAAGCGGAGGUGCUGGGAGCGUAUUGGAUGCCCCCCUGGUCACCGAGAGGAGCCCUACCUCACUGAGGCAGGACGGGAUGCCUUUGACAGGUUCUGCAGGCUCCGUCAUGGAGAGCUACAGGCCCUCAGUGGGGGCCUUCUACAGGCCCCGAAGCCUGUGCUGGUGGAGGAAAGCGAGCUGGUGAAAGACUCACUGAACGUUCUGCUGGGCGUUGUUUCUGCUACAUUUUCCCUGUGUCGGCCGACUCAAGCCUUUGUAGUGGAGCCGGGUGUGCAUGUGUCAGGUGCAUCUCCUGAAAGCAUCAGCAGCAUCCUCUCAGAGGUGGCGGAGUAUGGAACCUGUUACACACGGCUGAGCCAUUUCUCUCUGCAACCUGUUGUAGGCUCCUUGUGCAGCAGGGGCCUUGUUUUCCAGGCCUUCACCAGCGGCCUAAGGAGGUACUUGCAGUAUUACCGUGCCUGUGUGCUCUCCACUCCACCCACCCUCAGUCUCCUCACCAUUGGCUUUCUCUUCAAGAAGCUGGGCCGGCAGCUCAGGUACUUGGCUGAGCUUUGUGGUGUUGGCACUGUAUCCCUGGCGACCAGUGGAGAACCCAGGGCUGUGUUCCCCACUGGGGUGAAGCUUCUGUCCUACCUCUACCAGGAAGCACUGGAUAACUGCAGUAAUGAGCACUAUCCCGUUUUGCUGUCCCUCCUGAAGACCAGCUGUGAGCCCUACACACGGUUCAUCCACGAUUGGGUGUACAGUGGAGUCUUCAGAGAUGUUUAUGGGGAGUUCAUGAUCCAGGUUAACCAUGAGUACCUCAGCUUCAGAGACAAGUUUUACUGGACCCAUGGCUACGUGCUCAUUUCCAAAGAGGUGGAGGACUGUGUUCCUGUAUUCUUGAAACACAUUGCUCAUGAUGUGUAUGUCUGUGGGAAGACCAUCAACCUACUGAAGCUCUGCUGUCCCCGGCAUUACCUUUGUUGGUCUGAUGUCCCUGUCCCUCGGAUCUCGGUGAUUUUCUCUCUUGAGGAACUGAAGGAGAUUGAGAAGGACUGUGCUGUCUAUGUUGGGCGGAUGGAGAGAGUCGCACGUCAUAGCUGUAUCAGCAAGGAGGAAAAGGAAUUACGUAUGGAAAUUGCGAAACAAGAACUAAUUGUCCAUGCCCGGGAAGCCGCGUCCAGGGUCCUGAGCGAGUUGAGUGACCGGCAGAUGGCAGAACAGAUUGCUCAGGACACUCGGAAGCGAGAGCAGUUUCAGCGACUGAAGGAACAGUUUGUGAAGGAUCAGGAGCGACGCCUGGCAGCCAGACAAGAAGAGCUAGAUGAUGACUUCAGCUAUGCCCGUGAGCUCCGUGACCGGGAGAAGAGGCUAAAGGCCUUGGAGGAAGAGCUGGAGAGGAAGGCCAGGCAGGCGCUGGUUGACCAUUAUAGCAAGUUGUCUGCAGAGGCAGCUCGUCGAGAGCAGAAGGCUCUGUGGAGAAUCCAGAGGCAUAGGCUGGAAAGCGCACGACUUCGUUUUCUCCUAGAAGACCAGAAGUGCAUUCAGGAGAUGCUGAGAGACAUGGAGGCUCAGCAGCCCCAGGAGCCGCCGAGUGUGUUCCCAUCCACAGGCUCUCAGGUCACAUCUACAGGUCCUGAGCACGCAGGGGAAGGCCAUAGCUGUGAUCCGGGGUUCACAGAGCUGCAUUGGGGUUGUCCAAGCCUACCGUGUGCAUCGACACCAUCAGUCCCCAAGUCUGCCACAGAGGGAGCUGAUGACUCGGGAGCUGGGCCAUUCUCGACUGGUCUUAGCAUCACAGACUUUCUGCCCGUGGACUCUGGAGAGGAACAGCCUGUGGAGAACACUGGCGUUCCCUUUUUAGAGGUGGCUCUGCAGACCAUCUGCUCAGACCUAUCCCCUGUAGCCCCUGAGCCAGCGGCACUCACAGCAGGGGGCCCCCAGGCUACCCAGUCAGAGUAUGAUUUCAAUACCAUACUGAGGCCAGCUAUGGCUACCUCCCUCUCACCAGGACCCUUCCAGGAUGUUCAGAAUAGCGUGGACAGUGACAAACAGCAUCUACUGGGGGAUAUGUCCACAAAAGUAGAUUCUUAUAUCCAUGAUAUGCAAGAGACUUUGCCUUGCCCACAUCCACUCAGUCAUGCCACUCCUGUGGAGGGGAGCCUCCAGCCUGUAGGCCAGCUCCUUGAACACAUGUCAGAGACUACUGUCUCUACAGAGAGCCAUGCUUCUGGGAUGGCUCCUUGUCAGCAACUUAGCAUUUCCAGACACGUGUCAGAUGCUAACAUCAAGGUGGGGGAUUAUAUGUCAGAUGUGGCUCUUCCUCGGCCACGGUGGAAUGUCCAUGGCCAUGUGUCAGAGGCCAGCAUUGGAGUUGGGGAGAAUAUGGCCGAAGUGGCUCCUUCUAGGCCACGGUGGAAUGUCCACGGACAUGUGUCAGAUGCCAGCAUCAAGAUAGGGGAGAAUAUGUCAGAUGUGGCUCCUUCUCGGACACGGUGGAACAUUCAUGGGCAUGUGUCAGAUGCCAGCAUCAAGGUAGGGGAGAAUGUAUCAGAUGUGACUCCUUCUCGGCCGCGGUGGAAUGUCCACGGGCAUGUGUCAGAGGCCAGCAUCAAGGUAGGGGAGAAUGUAUCAGAUGUGACUCCUUCUCGGCCGCGGUGGAAUGUCCACGGGCAUGUGUCAGAGGCCAGCAUCAAGGUAGGGGAGAAUGUAUCAGACGUGACUCCUUCUCGGCCGCGGUGGAAUGUCCACGGGCAUGUGUCAGAUGCCAGUAUUAGGAUUGGGGAAAAUGUAUCAGAUACGGAUCUUGAUCUUCAGCAACGUGGAUGUGCCCAGCCUCCCUUGAUUCUGGAGGAGCCCUUGCCAGAAGCUGAGGCUGACCUCAAGCCCCAUCAGUGUCCCCCUGCUCACGUGUCUGAGGCAGUGCUUGGUGUGGAAGCACAGAGCCCUGCUCUAGAAUGUGGGCCACAGCUACCUGAAAAAACGAAGCCUACCGUGUGUUCUGGCUUUGGCAGAACAGAGGAAGGUAGCCUACAGACCAAGACCCUUGUGGCUGAGCCUAGCAUGCUGGGAAGUGGCAUCCCUGAAGAGAAAGGCCCAGGGAAGAGUAGGGAUGCUGAAGACCUUUCUCCAUGUUUGCCUUCAAGCUCACAGGAAGACACAGCUGUCCCCAGCAGCCCAGGCCCUAGUGAUGAGGUAUCAAACACAGAAGCUGAGGCCAGACGCUGGGGCAAGGAGCAAGCCUAUUUGACAGACCUCACAAAAUUGUACCACCUGGAGCAGUACCCGGACAGCUAUGAUUCCAUGUAGCCUCCUGUUGCUCACCUGGUCCACCACAUGCUUCCCCGGGCCUUUGCUUUCCCUGUUGACCCCCAAGUUCAGUCAGCAGUAGACGAGAGUGCAGUGCAGCUGAGCGAGCUGCUGACAUUGCCUGUGCUUAUGAAGCGUUCCCUUAUGGCGCCUCUGGCUGCCCAUGUCAGCCUGGUCAGCAAAGCCGCAGUUGACUACUUCUUUGUGGAGCUGCACCUGGAGACACACUUUGAGGCACUGCGCCAUUUCCUGCUGAUGGAAGAUGGAGAGUUCGCUCAGUCCCUUAGUGACCUGCUCUUUGAGAAGCUAGGGGCUGGGCAGACGCCUGGAGAGCUGCUCAACCCACUGGUCCUUAACAGCAUCCUGAGCAAGGCCCUGCAGUACAGCCUCCACGGGGACACCCCGCAUGCUUCCAACCUGUCUUUUGCUCUCAAGUACCUGCCUGAGGUGUUUGCCCCGAAUGCCCCAGAUGUGCUGAGCUGCCUGGAGCUCAGGUACAAGGUCGACUGGCCCCUCAACAUUGUUAUCACCGAGAGCUGCCUGAACAAGUACAGUGGCAUCUUCUCCUUCCUGCUGCAGCUGAAGCUCAUGAUGUGGACACUCAAAGACAUCUGCUUCCACCUCAAGCGCACAGCCCUCGUGAGCCACACGGCUGGCUCAGUGCAGUUCCGACAGCUGCAGCUGUUCAAGCAUGAGAUGCAGCACUUUGUGAAGGUCAUCCAGGGCUACAUUGCUAACCAGAUCCUGCAUGUCAGCUGGUGUGAGUUCCGAGCCCGUCUAGCUGUGGUGGGUGACCUGGAGGAGAUUCAGCGGGCCCAUGCCGAGUACCUGCACAGGGCUGUUUUCAGGGGCCUACUGACAGAGAAGGCAGCGCCAGUCAUGAACAUCAUCCAUAGCAUCUUCAGCCUGGUGCUCAAGUUCCGAAGCCAGCUCAUCUCUCAGAACUGGGGCCCGGCCACCGGCCCCCGUGGUGCCGAGCACCCCAACUUCCCCCUCAUGCAGCAGUCCUACAGCACCUUCAAGUACUACUCCCACUUCCUCUUCAAAGUAGUGACCAAGCUGGUGAACCGAGGCUAUCAGCCCCACCUGGAAGACUUUCUGCUUCGCAUCAACUUCAACAACUACUACCAGGACUCCUGAGGACAGACAGGAUCAUGGCUGCAUCCCCAUUUUACCUGGAUGGGGCUAGGGCCAAGGCAGUGACCAGAGAUAGACCUGAAGAAGCUGCUUUAUUUAGAGGCCCAGGAGAUUCAACAGGUGUGAAGCCCUGCCCUUUGGGGCAAAAUGCACACACAGGCCACAAGGCUUACUUACUUAGGCCUGUUUGCAUUACUUAAAAACAUGAGACUGAUAUUCUAGCAUGAAGCACUGUGUGCUAAGGGCGUGUUGAAUGCUAGGCCAGGGUAGUACUGCUAAGGUAGUAUCAGACAGAGAUGGGUCAGGUUUUGACUGGAGACCUCUGCCGUCAUGGAGAGACUGAGGACAGGCAUCCCAGCGGUCUCAGCAACUCAGCAGCACUGGGGAGGCCUCGGGAGACUCCAGACAAGUGGAGGACACCGAGGCCUUUAUGAGGAUCAUGUUACACAGAGUUCUGCUGCCCAGAGGGGUGGCCUGUUACUGUAGGAAGAUUGCUCCUCAGUGCUCCUUGCCACUGCUUCAGGGCCUGUGGCCUCCUCUUCACUGUGGUAAGGAGACUCUAGCAGCUUCAGGACACGCCGCACCUAGAGAACAGGUGGGAGGAACUCGGUGAGCAGCUUAUUUAACGACAUAUCCAUGAGAGGAAGGGAUAACAGAUAGUGUGUGCUUGCCUCUGAAAAGUCUCCAUUUUCAGCAGCUUCAAUGGCUUUCUGUGCAAUAUAGUUCCUCAGGACGUACUUGGGGUUGUUGGCACGCAUGACACGUACACGUUCUGCCUGCCAGGCAGCAGUGUCUCCAACACCCUCCUUCUCCUUGUCGAGACGGUCUCUGGAACCAAAAUCCUAGCUGGUUUUUCCAACUAAGAAUUGCAUGCCCCAUGACCCCAAUUCAGGGCCAUCUGCAGCCCCCUUCUAAGGUGGCCAUUGUGUCAAGAUGCCAGUUCAAAUGACCCCGGGAACCGCCUACCUGUAUUCCUGUAGCCAGGCUUCCCAGUGGUCUCUGUUCUUGCGCUGCAGGUCAGAGGGGCUCAGCUGUUCUAGCCGAGACUGAUGCUCCACACGUUCUAGCUCCUUUGUGACAUUGGCUUGAGUACCAAUGAGUGCAAAGAGCUGUGGGUUCGACUGUGCAAGCAUCAGCAUCAUAGAGAGCUGCCUGUAAGGAGGGUGGCAUGGGAAGUAGCUCAGGUGCUGAGGCAACUUCCAAAUUGCUACACCCCCACCCAGGGGGCAUCUGUCCCGGGUGUUUCUACAGAUCUCAAGUGCCAUUUCCUCUUGAUGGUUACUGCUGCUUUCCCCACUAAACUCCUUUUGCAUAACCA